rnacentral:rRNA from 1 species
GGCGACUCUCUGGUCUGUAACUGACGCUGAGGAGCGAAAGCGUGGGGAGCGAACAGGAUUAGAUACCCUGGUAGUCCACGCCGUAAACGAUGAGUGCUAAGUGUUAGGGGGUUUCCGCCCCUUAGUGCUGCAGCUAACGCAUUAAGCACUCCGCCUGGGGAGUACGGUCGCAAGACUGAAACUCAAAGGAAUUGACGGGGGCCCGCACAAGCGGUGGAGCAUGUGGUUUAAUUCGAAGCAACGCGAAGAACCUUACCAGGUCUUGACAUCCUCUGACAAUCCUAGAGAUAGGACGUCCCCUUCGGGGGCAGAGUGACAGGUGGUGCAUGGUUGUCGUCAGCUCGUGUCGUGAGAUGUUGGGUUAAGUCCCGCAACGAGCGCAACCCUUGAUCUUAGUUGCCAGCAUUCAGUUGGGCACUCUAAGGUGACUGCCGGUGACAAACCGGAGGAAGGUGGGGAUGACGUCAAAUCAUCAUGCCCCUUAUGACCUGGGCUACACACGUGCUACAAUGGACAGAACAAAGGGCAGCGAAACCGCGAGGUUAAGCCAAUCCCACAAAUCUGUUCUCAGUUCGGAUCGCAGUCUGCAACUCGACUGCGUGAAGCUGGAAUCGCUAGUAAUCGCGGAUCAGCAUGCCCGCGGUGAAUACGUUCCCGGGCCUUGUACACACCGCCCGUCACACCACGAGAGUUUGUAACACCCGAAGUCGGUGAGGUAACCUUUUAGGAGCCAGCCGCCGAAGGUGGGACAGAUGAUUGGGGUGAAGUCGUAACAAGGUAACCG